UUUAAAGUAUUUGGGAGCAAAAUAUCAAAUACACCAAUUUCCCAAUUUGAGGUUUUCACGACUCGAUUUUUCCCAAUUUUGAGGUUUUCACGACUCGAUUUUUCCCAAUUGGACCGGUACGGGUACUUUUCCCAAUUGGACAAGGAAAAUCGCUGGAACAUUGGCUCUAAAAUCAAAGUGCUUCCACCUACAACUUUGAAACUUGAUAUGAAACUGCACCUUGAUGAGUUCUACAUGCCACACCCAUUUUUGGGUCACUAGGUCAAAGGUCAAGGUCACUGUGACCUCUAAAAAAAAAAAAUUCUGACAAGCUUUCAUUUAUUAUGCCCCCCUUCGAAGAAGAGGGGGUAUAUUGCUUUGCUCAUGUCGGUCGGUAGGUCGGUCGGUCCGUCCACCAGGUGGUUGUCAGACGAUAACUCAAGAACGCUUGGGCCUAGGAUCAUGAAACUUCAUAGGUACAUUGAUCAUGACUUGCAGAUGACCCCUAUUGAUUUUGAGGUCACUAGGUCAAAGGUCAAGGUCACGGUGACCCGAAAUAGUAAAAUGGUUUUUGAAUGAUAACUCAAGAACGCUUACGCCUAGGAUCAUGAAACUUCAUGGGUAGAUUGAUCAUGACUCGCAGAUGACCCCUAUUGAUUUUGAGGUCACUAGGUCAAAGGUCAAGGUCACGGUGACCCGAAAUAGUAAAAUGAUUUUCGGAUGAUAACUCAAGAACGCAUAUGCCUAGGAUCAUGAAACUUCAUAGGUAGAUUGAUCAUGACUCGCAGAUGACCCCUAUUGAUUUUGAGGUCACUAGGUCAAAGGUCAAGGUCACUGUGAC